UAAUACGUAGGGGGCAAGCGUUGUCCGGAAUUAUUGGGCGUAAAGCGCGCGCAGGCGGUUCAUUAAGUUGGGUGUUUAAUCCCGGGGCUCAACCCCGGUUCGCAUCCGAAACUGGUGAACUUGAGUGUAGGAGAGGAAAGUGGAAUUCCACGUGUAGCGGUGAAAUGCGUAGAGAUGUGGAGGAACACCAGUGGCGAAGGCGACUUUCUGGCCUAUAACUGACGCUGAGGCGCGAAAGCGUGGGGAGCAAACAGGAUUAGAUACCCUGGUAGUCCACGCCGUAAACGAUGAGUGCUAGGUGUUAGGGGUUUCGAUGCCCUUGGUGCCGAAGUUAACACAGUAAGCACUCCGCCUGGGGAGUACGCUCGCAAGAGUG
rnacentral:rRNA from 1 species